rnacentral:rRNA from 1 species
CCAAUAGCGUAUAUUAAAGUUGUUGCAGUUAAAAAGCUCGUAGUUGAAUUUCGGGAUCAAUUUGCUGGUCGUGCCUUCGGUACGCACUGGUAUUAUUGGUUUCUCCUUUCUGAUGAAUCGCGAUGUCAUUAAUUUGGUGUCGUGGGGAAUCAGGACUGCUACUUUGAAAAAAUUAGAGUGUUUAAAGCAGGCUCACGCUUGAAUACAUUAGCAUGGAAUAAUGAAAUAGGACGUUUGAUUCUAUUUUGUUGGUUUCUAGGAUCGACGUAAUGAUUAAUAGGGAUAGUUGGGGGCAUUAGUAUUCAAUUGUCAGAGGUGAAAUUCUUGGAUUUAUUGAAGACUAACUACUGCGAAAGCAUUUGCCAAGGAUGUUUUCAUUAAUCAAGAACGAAAGUUAGGGGAUCGAAGACGAUCAGAUACCGUCGUAGUCUUAACCAUAAACUAUGCCGACUAGGGAUCGGAUGAUGUUAAUUUUUUAAUGACUCAUUCGGCGCCUUACG